CUGGGCAUGGUGGAAGAACCAGGGCUGCAUGUUUCCACCCUCUAGAGAGGGCAGAUGCCAUUGGAACUGGCAGCUGGAGCCCAAAGGUCACCUGUCCAGAGAAACUGACCAUCUGUUCUGAGUGGGUAGAGACCUUUCAUUGCCCUCUGAGAAGGGGACACAGGCUGAGGGUGGCUGGCAGGACAGGAAAAGACUCGUUACAAGCCAGGAAGAAGAUGUACUCUGGGAGCUUCAUCAACCAGCUUGCUCUUGGACUUCCAGUCUUCAGGAGCAUAGGAAGCAGUGAGCGUCCUGUUCUUUAAGCCACCAGCUCUCUGGAUUUUUGUAUAGCAGCACAAAAAGUCUAACAUUCAUGUGACACCAAUGCAGAAAACAGUUGAUGAAGUAUCCUGCAAAGAUGAUCUAGCUACACUGAAAAACAAGGUACAUGUUUUGAAAAAUUCUUAACUAUGAACUUUCACAAUCAAAGUACACUGUGGGUAAAAGUGGUUUCCACAAGCAUUUCACAAUAGGGACCAGGUUUUGUGCUUAUUACACAAGCAUUUCAAAAUAGUGUUCUUGAAUCCUGCUAGCGUCGUAUGCAAUGCUCGUGAGCCAAGAAUGAAGCUAUUAAUAAGUAAACUAAUAUAAUAAGACAAAUAGCAUUGGGUGUCAUGGCUCAUGCCUGCCUGUAAUUCCAGCACUAGAGAGCUGAGGUAGAUGGAUUGCUGUGAGUUCAAGGCUAGACUGGUCUACAUAGCAUGUUCCAGGCCAGCCUGGGCUACAAGCGUGAGACCCUGCCUCUAAAACAAAUAAGCAAACAAACAAAAAAAGAAGUAAAGUAAAGUAAACAGUGGGAAGAACCUGUUGAGUAGUUUGGAGCACAGGCUUCAGAUGGAGUGAAAUCAUGUUAGGUUUCCCCUCUGUAAACAUGGACCCUCAGGUACAGAGAAGCUAAGAAUGGAGGGCUAGCAUCAGACAUAAACUGACAUCAGGGCCUAAACUGAAACCUAAACUCAAGACUGAAGUGGUGGAUUCCAGCCGGCCAUGUGGAUUGUGACCGAGUGUCAGCAGAAAGAGUAACGGCACUCAAAAUAGAAAGUGUGAGCUACAAACUACAAAACCACUUGGGCCUCUAUGAAUGACCAAGUUGACUGAGGCCAAACCACAUGCAAAUCAGCUGCCGUCUGCUUCUUGUGUAACCGAGACGCGCCACACCGGAAAAGGAACUCGGAGGGUAGACUUUGUAUUGUGUUAAGGAGCCACUGAACUGGAGUGCUAGAGGCUCUCGGAGCAGUUAAAGUGAGAAAUGGUACAGAGUCAGUUUUACAGCCUGGAUGUUUGUACAUUCUGCCUUUCAUCCCCUCAACAAGUAUUUGGCCAUCACACUCCAUAUGCAAAGCAUUCAUGCUAAGCGCUGAGGCAGUUUUAGGAACAUGCACAUCAUGAUCAAA